GACGAACGCUGGCGGCGUGCUUAACACAUGCAAGUCGAACGGUGAAGCGCCUUCCUUUUUGGUGGGUGUGGAUGAGUGGCGAACGGGUGAGUAACACGUGAGUAACCUGCCCCCUUCUUCUGGAUAACCGCAUGAAAGUGUGGCUAAUACGGGAUAUUCUGGGUCUGUCGCAUGAUGGGUCUGGGAAAGAUAUUGUUUCGGUGGGGGAUGGGCUCGCGGCCUAUCAGCUUGUUGGUGUGGUGAUGGCCUACCAAGGCGAUGACGGGUAGCCGGCCUGAGAGGGUGGACGGUCACACUGGGACUGAGACACGGCCCAGACUCCUACGGGAGGCAGCAGUGGGGAAUAUUGCACAAUGGGCGCAAGCCUGAUGCAGCGACGCCGCGUGAGGGAUGGAGGCCUUCGGGUUGUGAACCUCUUUCGCCAGUGAAGCAGGCCUGCCUCGUUUGUGGGUGGGUUGACGGUAGCUGGAUAAGAAGCGCCGGCUAACUACGUG
rnacentral:rRNA from 1 species